AGUCAUAUGCUUGUCUCAAAGAUUAAGCCAUGCACGUCUAAGUACAGGCCACCACGAUGGUCGAAACUGCGAACGGCUCAUUAAAUCAGUCAUGGUUCAUUGGAUCGUACUAUCCUACUUGGAUAACUGUGGUAAUUCUAGAGCUAAUACAUGCAACGCAAGCUCCGACCCCUUCGCAGGGGGAAGAGCGCUCUUAUUAGAUCAAGACCAAUACGGGUGCUCGCACCCGUCCUCACUCUGGUGACUCUGGAUAACACGGUAGCCGAUCGCACGGCCGUCGAGCCGGCGACGCUUCUUUCAAAUGUCUGCCUUAUCAACUGUCGAUGGCAGGUGACCUGCCUGCCAUGGUAUUGACGGGUAACGGGGAAUCAGGGUUCGAUUCCGGAGAGGGAGCCUGAGAAACGGCUACCACAUCCAAGGAAGGCAGCAGGCGCGCAAAUUACCCACUCCCGACACGUGGAGGUAGUGACGAAAAAUAACGAUGCGGGACUCUUUGGAGGCCCCGUAAUCGGAAUGAGUGCAAUCUAAAUCCUUGGACGAGGAUCUAUUGGAGGGCAAGUCUGGUGCCAGCAGCCGCGGUAAUUCCAGCUCCAAUAGCGUAUAUUAAAGUUGCUGCGUUUAAAACGCUCGUAGUUGGAUCUCGGGUGCGGGACGGUUGGUGUCGCCCACAGUGGCGUCCACUGCCGUCGCCCCGUCGACGUCGUCGUCGUACUGGCCCGGCCGUUAACUCGGUCGCGGUUGGGGCGGGGGCGGCUCGGGGGGCGAUUUCUUCCCCACCUAGCUCUGCCGGCGUCUCCUCGCGGUGCUCUUGACUGAGUUGCCCGGGGCGGCCGGACACGUUUACUUUGAGAAAACAGGAGUGCUCAAAGCAGGCAGUUCUCGUUGGCCAAUGAACGAGUUGUGCAUSGAAUAAUGGAAUAGGACCUCGGUUCUGUUGUGUUGGUUUUCGGAAUGCCGAGGUAAUGAUUAAGAGGGACAGACGGGGGCAUUCGUAUUGCGUCGGGAGAGGUGAAAUUCUUAGAUCGCCGCAAGACGAACCACUGCGAAAGCAUUUGCCAAGAAUGUUUUCUAGUCAAGAACGAAAGUCAGAGG
rnacentral:rRNA from 1 species